AGUGAAUAGAUACCCGGGUAGUCCACGCCGUAAACGAUGAUAACUAGCUGUCGGGGGCCUUAGGUUUUCGGUGGCGCAGCUAAACGCAUUAAGUUAUCCGCCUGGGGAGUACGGCCGCAAGGUUAAAACUCAAAGAAAUUGACGGGGGCCUGCACAAGCGGUGGAGCAUGUGGUUUAAUUCGAAAGCAACGCGCAGAACCUUACCAGCGUUUGACAUCCUCAUCGCGGAUACCAGAGAUGGUUUCCUUCAGUUCGGCUGGAUGAGUGACAGGUGCUGCAUGGCUGUCGUCAGCUCGUGUCGUGAGAUGUUGGGUUAAGUCCCGCAACGAGCGCAACCCUCGUCUUUAGUUGCCAUCAUUUAGUUGGGCACUCUAAAGAAACCGCCGGUGAUAAGCCGGAGGAAGGUGGGGAUGACGUCAAGUCCUCAUGGCCCUUACGCGCUGGGCUACACACGUGCUACAAUGGCGGUGACAGUGGGCAGCAAUCCCGCGAGGGGUGAGCUAAUCUCCAAAAGCCGUCUCAGUUCGGAUUGUUC
rnacentral:rRNA from 1 species